AGCAGCCGCGGUAAUUCCAGCUCCAAUAGCGUAUAUUAAAGUUGUUGCAGUUAAAAAGCUCGUAGUUGAAUUUCGGGGUUCUACCGUUGGUCGGGCAAUUGUCUGUACUGGCGUGUGGAAUUUCUACCUUCUGGGGAACCAUCAUGUUAUUAAUUUAGCGUGGUGGGAAACCAGGACCUUUACCUUGAAAAAAUUAGAGUGUUCAAAGCAGGCUUACGUCUGAAUACAUUAGCAUGGAAUAAUAAAAUAGGACGGUGGUCCUGUUUUGUUGGUUUCUGAAUCACCGUAAUGAUUAAUAGGGAUAGUUGGGGGCAUUAGUAUUCAAUUGUCAGAGGUGAAAUUCUUGGAUUUAUUGAAGACUAACUUCUGCGAAAGCAUUUGCCAAGGAUGUUUUCAUUAAUCAAGAACGAAAGUUAGGGGAUCGAAGAUGAUCAGAUACCGUCGUAGUCUUGACCAUAAACUAUGCCGACUAGGGAUCGGGACGAUGUUAAUUUUUCUUGACUCGUUCGGCGCCUUACGG
rnacentral:rRNA from 1 species